CUUGAUUCGAGCGGUCAGAACAAUCCACUAAAGGGCAAACUUACCAACUGUCACUCGUCCGGAUGUGAGCGUCCGUUCAGUGUGCAGAAAAUACCGAACAGCAAUCUCAUCCUGCUGGUAGUGGACGUGCUGUUGUCCCUGCGGCUCCAAGCAGUUGGACAUUGACCCGCAAGAGGUCGUUGGUGGUGCGGGAGCCUGCGGUGUGCGUCGCAUGGCCAAGGAGAAAAUGCUGAGAAAACGGCCCGGCAAAUGCAUCAGCUACCAUCCGGAGGAGAUUGAAAUUAAGCAGUGCGGCACCGC